rnacentral:rRNA from 1 species
AGAGUUUGAUCCUGGCUCAGGACGAACGCUGGCGGCGUGCCUAAUACAUGCAAGUCGAGCGGACAGAUGGGAGCUUGCUCCCUGAUGUUAGCGGCGGACGGGUGAGUAACACGUGGGUAACCUGCCUGUAAGACUGGGAUAACUCCGGGAAACCGGGGCUAAUACCGGAUGGUUGUUUGAACCGCAUGGUUCAAACAUAAAAGGUGGCUUCGGCUACCACUUACAGAUGGACCCGCGGCGCAUUAGCUAGUUGGUGAGGUAACGGCUCACCAAGGCAACGAUGCGUAGCCGACCUGAGAGGGUGAUCGGCCACACUGGGACUGAGACACGGCCCAGACUCCUACGGGAGGCAGCAGUAGGGAAUCUUCCGCAAUGGACGAAAGUCUGACGGAGCAACGCCGCGUGAGUGAUGAAGGUUUUCGGAUCGUAAAGCUCUGUUGUUAGGGAAGAACAAGUACCGUUCGAAUAGGGCGGUACCUUGACGGUACCUAACCAGAAAGCCACGGCUAACUACGUGCCAGCAGCCGCGGUAAUACGUAGGUGGCAAGCGUUGUCCGGAAUUAUUGGGCGUAAAGGGCUCGCAGGCGGUUUCUUAAGUCUGAUGUGAAAGCCCCCGGCUCAACCGGGGAGGGUCAUUGGAAACUGGGGAACUUGAGUGCAGAAGAGGAGAGUGGAAUUCCACGUGUAGCGGUGAAAUGCGUAGAGAUGUGGAGGAACACCAGUGGCGAAGGCGACUCUCUGGUCUGUAACUGACGCUGAGGAGCGAAAGCGUGGGGAGCGAACAGGAUUAGAUACCCUGGUAGUCCACGCCGUAAACGAUGAGUGCUAAGUGUUAGGGGGUUUCCGCCCCUUAGUGCUGCAGCUAACGCAUUAAGCACUCCGCCUGGGGAGUACGGUCGCAAGACUGAAACUCAAAGGAAUUGACGGGGGCCCGCACAAGCGUGGAGCAUGUGGUUUAAUUCGAAGCAACGCGAAGAACCUUACCAGGUCUUGACAUCCUCUGACAAUCCUAGAGAUAGGACGUCCCCUUCGGGGGCAGAGUGACAGGUGGUGCAUGGUUGUCGUCAGCUCGUGUCGUGAGAUGUUGGGUUAAGUCCCGCAACGAGCGCAACCCUUGAUCUUAGUUGCCAGCAUUCAGUUGGGCACUCUAAGGUGACUGCCGGUGACAAACCGGAGGAAGGUGGGGAUGACGUCAAAUCAUCAUGCCCCUUAUGACCUGGGCUACACACGUGCUACAAUGGACAGAACAAAGGGCAGCGAAACCGCGAGGUUAAGCCAAUCCCACAAAUCUGUUCUCAGUUCGGAUCGCAGUCUGCAACUCGACUGCGUGAAGCUGGAAUCGCUAGUAAUCGCGGAUCAGCAUGCCGCGGUGAAUACGUUCCCGGGCCUUGUACACACCGCCCGUCACACCACGAGAGUUUGUAACACCCGAAGUCGGUGAGGUAACCUUUUAGGAGCCAGCCGCCGAAGGUGGGACAGAUGAUUGGGGUGAAGUCGGAACAAGGUA